rnacentral:rRNA from 1 species
CCUACGGGUGGCUGCAGUAGGGAAUAUUGCACAAUGGAGGAAACUCUGAUGCAGCGACGCCGCGUGAGUGAUGAAGGACUUCGGUUUGUAAAACUCUGUUCUCAGGAAAAAUGUACCUGAGGAGAAAGCACCGGCUAACUUCGUGCCAGCAGCCGCGGUAAUACGAAGGGUGCAAGCGUUGCUCGGAAUCAUUGGGCGUAAAGCGAGCGCGGGUGGUCCUGUAAGUCAGGAGUGAAAGCCCAGGGCUUAACCCUGGAAGUGCUUUUGAUACUGCAGGACUUGAAUGUGGGAGAGGGUUCUAGAAUACCUAGUGUAGUGGUGAAAUACGUAGAUAUUAGGUGGAACUCCGGUGGCGAAGGCGGGAACCUGGCCCAAAUGACACUUAGGCUCGAAAGCGUGGGGAUCAAACAGGAUUAGAUACCCUUGUAGUC